GUUUAAUCCUCACAGCAACAUGAGGUAGGUAUUUUAUCUGUGUUUUACAGAUGCAAAAAAAUGGAAGCAGUAAAUACACCUGUGUGAAUGUGGACGAAUGUUCAUGGUAAAGCUGGCAGAGGAGACAGAUGGCAUCAUUGUCACCAAUGAGCAGAUUCACAUCCUGAUGAAUAAUUCCAAGAAACUGAUGGUCAAAGAUCGCUUGCUGCCUUUCACCUUUGCGGGGAAUCUCUUCAUGGUGCCUGAUGACCCCCUGGGCCGUGAUGGCCCCACCUUGGAUGAGUUUCUGAAGAAGCCAAACAGGUUGGACACUGACAUUGGCAACUUCCUGAAGGUGUGGAAGACCCUUCCUCCCAGCUCAGCCAGUGUCACUGAGCUGAGUGAUGACUCUGACUCUGGGACCCUGGAGAGUCUGCCGAAUAUGGA
rnacentral:sRNA from 1 species